AAAAAUGUUUAAUUGGCAAAAAUUAAAUUUUGAUGUUACCUUCGUAAGCUCUAAAUCUAUCUGGAAAAUCUGGAAUAGUAGGGAGAGAGGAAUUAGCGAUCCAGGAGAGGAAGGAUGAGAGAAUGCGCGGUGACGACAAAGGUGGGCAACACCAGGCCAGCGGAGGUGGAGGCACAAGUCAACACAAAGAGGGGAAGGAAAAGACUAAUAGAAACUAAUUGGAACCCCAAAAUUUCAACUUGAGUUGUGCAAAAGGCAGGGAGUGGGGCAUGGAGGGGUGGAGGCGGCAGCAAAAGUGCCUCUAUCUCAGCGUAAUUGGAGGAGGAGGCGGCGGCGGCGACGAAGAAUGCUCCAUCAGAGCUUCUGAUAUGGCCAUCGAUAAUUGAAAGGGAAGG
rnacentral:lncRNA from 1 species